rnacentral:tRNA from 1 species
GCGCGAGUGGCGGAACAGGCAGACGCGCCAGGUUUAGGUCCUGGUGCCCUCGGGCGUGCGGGUUCGACUCCCGCCUCGCGCACCC